rnacentral:rRNA from 1 species
ACUCCUACGGGAGGCAGCAGUGGGGAAUAUUGCGCAAUGGGCGAAAGCCUGACGCAGCGACGCCGCGUGAGGGACGACGGCCUUCGGGUUGUAAACCUCUUUCAGCAGGGAUGAAGCGAAAGUGACAGUACCUGCAGAAGAAGCACCGGCUAACUACGUGCCAGCAGCCGCGGUAAUACGUAGGGUGCAAGCGUUGUCCGGAAUUAUUGGGCGUAAAGAGCUCGUAGGCGGUCUGUCACGUCGGAUGUGAAAAUCCAGGGCUCAACCCUGGACCUGCAUUCGAUACGGGCAGACUAGAAUUCGGUAGGGGAGACUGGAAUUCCUGGUGUAGCGGUGAAAUGCGCAGAUAUCAGGAGGAACACCGGUGGCGAAGGCGGGUCUCUGGGCCGAUAUUGACGCUGAGGAGCGAAAGCGUGGGGAGCGAACAGGAUUAGAUACCCUGGUAGUCCACGCCGUAAACGUUGGGCGCUAGGUGUGGGGAACAUUCCACGUUCUCCGUGCCGCAGCUAACGCAUUAAGCGCCCCGCCUGGGGAGUACGGCCGCAAGGCUAAAACUCAAAGGAAUUGACGGGGGCCCGCACAAGCGGCGGAGCAUGCGGCUUAAUUCGACGCAACGCGAAGAACCUUACCAAGGCUUGACAUAUAGGGAAAUCUCACAGAGAUGUGAGGUCCGCAAGGGCCCUAUACAGGUGGUGCAUGGUUGUCGUCAGCUCGUGUCGUGAGAUGUUGGGUUAAGUCCCGCAACGAGCGCAACCCUCGUUCAAUGUUGCCAGCACGUAAUGGUGGGGACUCAUUGGAGACUGCCGGGGUCAACUCGGA